rnacentral:rRNA from 1 species
UACGAAGGGUGCAAACGUUGCUCGGAAUUAUUGGGCGUAAAGCGCACGUAGGCGGCUUAGCAAGUCGGAUGUGAAAUCCCUCGGCUCAACCAAGGAAGUGCAUCCGAAACUGGCAGGCUAGAGUACUAAAGAGGGUCGCGGAAUUCCCGGUGUAGAGGUGAAAUUCGUAGAUAUCGGGAGGAACACCGGUGGCGAAGGCGGCGACCUGGGUAGAUACUGACGCUGAGGUGCGAAAGCGUGGGGAGCAAACAGG